AAAAAGGCAACCAACCUGAAAUUGUGUCUGCACUAAGCUUGGCAUCAAUAUGGUGACCUCCUGGAAGUGGAGUACCACCAGGAUGCCUAAGGAGGGGUGAACUGACCUAGGUUGGAAAGGGAGCAGGUCAAAACUCCUGUGCUGAUCAGUAGUGGAAUCACUACACUGUUCCUUUUU
ensembl:misc_RNA Metazoa_SRP Metazoan signal recognition particle RNA